rnacentral:rRNA from 1 species
UUGGAGGGCAAGUCUGGUGCCAGCAGCCGCGGUAAUUCCAGCUCCAAUAGCGUAUAUUAAAGUUGUUGCAGUUAAAAAGCUCGUAGUUGAAUUUCGGGGUUAGUAGGUUGGUCAUGCCUCUGGUAUGUACUGGUCUCACUGAUUCCUCCUUCCUGAUGAACCGUAAUGCCAUUAAUUUGGUGUUGCGGGGAAUUUGGACUGUUACUUUGAAAAAAUUAGAGUGUUUAAAGCAAGCUAACGCUUGAAUACAUUAGCAUGGAAUAAUGAAAUAGGACGUUCGAUCCUAUUUUGUUGGUUUCUAGGAUUGACGUAAUGAUUAAUAGGGAUAGUUGGGGGCAUUAGUAUUCAAUUGUCAGAGGUGAAAUUCUUGGAUUUAUUGAAGACUAACUACUGCGAAAGCAUUUGCCAAGGAUGUUUUCAUUAAUCAAGAACGAAAGUUAGGGGAUCGAAGACGAUCAGAUACCGUCGUAGUCUUAACCAUAAACUAUGCCGACUAGGGAUCGGAUGAUGUUAAUUUUUUAAUGACUCAUUCGGCACCUUACGGGAAAC